rnacentral:rRNA from 1 species
CAAUAGCGUAUAUUUAAGUUGUUGCAGUUAAAAAGCUCGUAGUCGGAUUUUGGCUGAGAACGAUCGGUCCGCCGUUAGGUGUGCACUGAUUGGUCUCAGCUUCCUGGUGAGGAGGUGUGCUUCACGGCCACUUAGUCACCGUGGUUACUUUGAAAAAAUUAGAGUGUUCAAAGCGGGCUUACGCUUGAAUAUAUUAGCAUGGGAUAACACCAUAGGACUCCUGUCCUAUUUCGUUGGUCUCGGGACGGGAGUAAUGAUUAAGAGGAACAGUUGGGGGCAUUCGUAUUUCAUUGUCAGAGGUGAAAUUCUUGGAUUUAUGAAAGACGAACUUCUGCGAAAGCAUUUGCCAAGGAUGUUUUCAUUGA